rnacentral:rRNA from 1 species
AUUAAACGCUGGCGGCAGGCUUAACACAUGCAAGUCGAGCGGGGGAAGGUAGCUUGCUACCUGACCUAGCGGCGGACGGGUGAGUAAUGCUUAGGAAUCUGCCUAUUAGUGGGGGACAACAUUUCGAAAGGGAUGCUAAUACCGCAUACGCCCUACGAGGGAAAGCAGGGGAUCACUUGUGACCUUGCGCUAAAUGAUGAGCCUAAGUCGGAUUAGCUAGUUGGUGGGGUAAAGGGCUACCAAGGCGACGAUCUGUAGCGGGUCUGAGAGGAUGAUCCGGCACACUGGGACUGAGACACGGCCCAGACUCCGACGGGAGGCGGCAGUGGGGAAUAUUGGACAAUGGGGGGAACCCUGAUCCAGCCAUGCCGCGUGUGUGAAGAAGGCCUUUUGGUUGUAAAGCACUUUAAGCGAGGAGGAGGCUCCUGUAGAUAAUACCUACAGUGAGUGGACGUUACUCGCAGAAUAAGCACCGGCUAACUCUGUGCCAGCCGCCGCCGUAA